rnacentral:rRNA from 1 species
UAGGGAAUAUUGGGCAAUGGGCGGAAGCCUGACCCAGCCAUGCCGCGUGCAGGAUGAAGGCCUUCUGGGUUGUAAACUGCUUUUACCAGGGAAGAAAACACCCAUGCGUGGGGAACUGACGGUACCUGGGGAAUAAGCACCGGCUAACUCCGUGCCAGCAGCCGCGGUAAUACGGAGGGUGCAAGCGUUGUCCGGAUUUAUUGGGUUUAAAGGGUGCGUAGGCGGCCUUUUAAGUCAGUGGUGAAAGCCCGCGGCUCAACCGCGGAACUGCCAUUGAUACUGGAAGGCUUGAGUACAGACGAGGUAGGCGGAAUUGAAGAUGUAGCGGUGAAAUGCUUAGAUAUCUUCAAGAACACCGAUUGCGUAGGCAGCUUACUAGGCUGUAACUGACGCUGAGGCACGAAAGCGUGGGGAGCGAACAGG